CCUACGGGAGGCAGCAGUGAGGAAUAUUGGUCAAUGGACGCAAGCCUGAACCAGCCAUGCCGCGUGCGGGAUGACGGCUCUGUGAGUUGUAAACCUCUUUUGUACGGGGACAAACCCCGGUACGUGUACCCGGAUGAGGGUACCUGACGAAUAAGCAUCGGCUAACUCCGUGCCAGCAGCCGCGGUAAUACGGAGGAUGCGAGCGUUAUCCGGAUUUAUUGGGUUUAAAGGGUGCGGAGGCGGCUUGGUAAGUUAGAGGGGAAAUGUCGGGGCUCAACCCCGGACCAGCCUCUAAUACUGUCGGACUAGAGUAGAGGAGAGGUAGGCGGAAUGUGUGGUGUAGCGGUGAAAUGCUUAGAGAUCACGCAGAACCCCGAUUGCGAAGGCAGCGUACCAGACCCACACUGACGUUGAGGCACGAAAGCGUGGGUAGCGAACAGGAUUAGAUACCCGGGUAGUC
rnacentral:rRNA from 1 species